GUCAAGAAAGCAAGGGAAAGAAACUUGUUCUCCAUUCUUGACAUUUCCUUCCCAAAAUUUCCUAAAUAUUUCACCAUUUUAUCUUUAAUUUCUUACAAAAAUACCUUACCUAAGUUAUAUUUGACCUUCCUUCUUCACUGUUUCUAUCAUCUUCUUCAUUAACCCCACCUAGGAUUUUGUUGUUUAGGGGGAGAAAAUUUAGCUAGAAAAAGAAGUGGAGAGAGGAACUACAAGCAAAGUGAGAGAAAAGUUGCAGAGUGAAGGAUAAGAGUAGAUUCUUCCAUUUAUUUUGAUUAUUUUAUAGGUAUGUUUUGCUUUUAAAAGCUUAGUUCACUUCGUGGAUCAUCAUCAUACACCAUAGCGAGAUUAAGUGAGUAUGAAACCAUUGUAUUUGUAUUUGUGGUUUCUAGUGGCAUGUACUAAAGGGUCAUUUGUGUAUGCAUGUAUGUCAGAUUCAUCUUAUUUUUGAACUUGUAUUAUUUUGAAGCAUAACACUUAAAAAUUCAUGGUAUGAAUGUUUAUGGUAAUUAAUAGCCUCACUUGGAUGUGUUUGAGUGUGAAA